AGUUGCUGAGUUUAGACCAGGUUUUUGUUGGUCAGUGGCCUGAUUCCUUCCCACUGCCUCAAGAUGGCAAUACGCCAAGAAUGCACCUGAACACCCCUCCCUGUGAGAACAGCACACCCAUGGGUGCAAAGAUGAGCACAGGUGCAUUUGCU